GAAUCCAGUUUCGGGACACCGCCUCGUCCCUAAUUCUUUCUUUGCCGAGAACGUGAAGAGGGGGAUUCGGAAGCACCCCCGCAGGAAGGCGAUGAUCGUGCGGACGUACGCCCGAAGGGCUACCCGCUGCGGCGCUGGCCGCUCCUCCUCCGAUCCCAUCCUCCUCGAGUCUCCCGACGCCGACGACGACCCCGAUUCCGCCGCCGGUGAGCUCCUCGACCUCCCCUUCUCCCAGGACAGCUCUCAUGGCCGCCACGCUCCUGCCAUUUCCGCAUUAUCCUCCCAAGAUUGCUCCUCCCCUUGGUCUUUCGACCCCUUCGACGUCCACGACGAAGCCCCCGCGCUCCCCCGCGACCCGCCGAACGAAUUCCACGGAUCGGACGGUCCCAGGACGGUGUCGUGGGCGUCGGCGAGGGAUCCGUCGGCGGAAGUGACGACGUCGACGCUGAUGGAAGCGCAGGAGUUCGGGGAGAUGAUGGAGCACGUGGACGAGGUGAACUUCGCGCUGGAUGGGCUACGGCGGGGGCAGCCAGUGAGGGUCCGGCGUGCGAGCUUGCUGUCGCUUUUGUCGGCUUGCAGUACGGCCCAGCAGAGGCGGAUUCUCCGGGUGCAGGGGAUGGCCAAGAGGAUUAUUGAUGCCAUAUUGGGUCUGAGAUUAGAUGAUUAUCCAAGUACAGUCGCUGCUGCUGCUCUUUUUUACGUCUUGGCAAGUGAUGUUCAAGAUGAUCAUUUGCUGGAUUCACCAUCUUGUAUUGGUUUUCUUCUUAAGUUAUUGAAUCCAACAAUUCCUGAGACCACUGGGGACAAGGCAUCAACUUUUGGAUCUAAGCUUCUUGGAAAACAUAAGACUCAAGUAGUAGAUAGUACAUAUAAAGGAUUAGAUUCCACCUCAAGGGCUAUCUUUUCAAAAGUUUCAGAAAUCCUUAUCAGUUGUAAAGAGAUAAAAUCAGGCACUGAGACUGCUGAUAGAACAGAGAGGCCAGAGCUGAGCCCCAAAUGGAUAGCUUUAUUGGCCAUGGAGAAAGCAUGCUUAUCCACUGUAUCAUUUGAAGAUGCAUCUGAUAUGGUGAAAAUGCCUGGGGGGGACUUCAAAGAAAAGUUGAGAGAGCUUGGUGGACUUGAUGCAAUCUUUGAUGUUCUUGCUAGCUGCCACUCCACCUUGGAGGCAUGGCAUAGCUCAUCUUCAUUCUUUCACUUAAACGAUGAAUCAGUGUUGCAAAGUAUGCUACUUCUUUUAAAGUGUUUGAAAGUUAUGGAGAAUGCAACAUUUCUAAGCAAGGAUAAUCAGAAUCACUUACUUGGGAUGAAACGUAAGUUGAACUCUGGUGGCCUACAAUUGUCUUUUGUUGGGGUCAUCAUCAAUGCCAUCAAAUUCUUUUCAGAUUUUUCUUUGCUCCAGAGUAAUAUCAAUGUUUCAAACAAUGAAAAGUUAAUUUCUGAAGUUCAGAGUCUUCAGGUGAAACAAAAACUGAAAGAUAACAACAACGAGACCUCAGAUAGUCAUUGUGUUGGGUGUUCUGAUGUUGACAGGGAUUCUGAAGUGAAGGUCAUUAAGAUAUGUCAUAAACGUCAGAAGUCAUCUUAUUCUCAGUCAGAAGUGUCUCUUUCUGGUUCAGAAAUGGAAACUCAUUUUUCUGCCUCAGUUUCAUGUGAUGUAAUUGAUAGAUCAACUGGAGACAGCUCUGCAAAUGGUAACAAUUUAAAAACAAAAAUAAAUGGUAGUGGUUCAAAAAUGAAUUCUCAUAGGGUUUCAAAUCGAUGGAUCUCUAUAAAAACUAAUGGUGCAGCUGGCAGCAUGUCUGAAAGACCUCAUUUACCGAAAUAUGUUAAAGGUAAUUGUAAAUUGGACAUGCAUGAUCCUUUUGCAUUCAAUGAUGGUGAAUUAGGACCUUCGAAGUGGGAAUUGUUGGCAAAAAAGAAAGAAAUAACUGCACAUGAAGGUGCUUUAGCAAGUAAAGACGUUUCAAAUGGAUGUGACCUCCCGAUAUGUACCACAGAUGAUGUGUUGAGUCAACUAACAAAUGCAAAAAACCAUGAUGAUUGUGCAGUGUCUCAUUCAUCAGGAAUUGAUGAAGAUUCAAGCCUUGUGGGAGACUGCCUACUUACGUCAGUCAAGGUUCUUAUGAACUUAACAAAUGACAAUCCUGUAGGGUGUCAGCAAACUGCUGCUUGUGGUGGACUGCACACUAUGGUUUCUUUAAUAGUUAAUCAUUUUCCAUCAUUUGACUGUUUCUUCCAAUCGAAUGGCAAGGGGAAAGAGAAUACCUCUUCUACCAACCUACACAACAAUGACUGUCAUCUGAACAACAGACAUCUCCUUGAUUAUGAAUUGGAUUUGUUGGUAGCUUUGUUGGGUUUGCUUGUCAACCUUGUGGAGAAGGAUAGUCAAAACAGAUUGCAUCUUGCAGCAGCUCGUGUUUCAGCAAGCCAAUCAGGAAAACCAGAAAGCACAGAGACACAGAGGGAUGCAAUUCCUUUGUUGUGCUCCAUAUUUUUGUCAAAUCAAGGAAAUGGGGAUGCUAAAGAGGAAAGAACUUAUAUAUGUGAUGAUGAAGAGUCUUUGUUGCAAGGAGCACGUGAGGCUGAAAUGAUGAUCAUCGAAGCAUAUGCAGCUUUAUUGCUUGCCUUUUUAUCAACGGAGAGUUCCAAAGUCCGUGAAGCCAUUGCCAACUGCCUUCCGAAUCGGAACUUGCAAGUUCUAGUUCCUGUUUUAGAAAGAUUUGUGGCAUUCCAUCUGUCGCUAAACAUGAUGCCUCCAGAAACACACUCAGCUGUUGUCAAAGUAAUCGAGUCCUGUAAAGGACCUUAUUGAAGAGAUCGUGCACAGUGCUGCUGGUCUUUUCUGCGCAAUGUGGAAGUUAUUCAGUUCUCAGACAAUGAGGAAGAGUCCUGGGUUAGCUUCUCUGCUUUGGGCUCUGAAGACUCUUAUGGCAACUUAUGUAGUAAAUGAGAGAAGGCUCUGUUCAAAAUUUUGGUGUCUGCUACUAUGGAUUUGAUCUGUAAUGGUGAAAGCAUGUGAGUGUCCGAAUCAAUGCAGCAGAUCAGUAAAGUGAAUGAACACAACUCCUGCCUUCUUGAAUUUUAUGCUGGAAUUUUCUAAAGAGUUAUUGAAUUUUCUGAGCAGCAGAUCUAAGUAGCUGUUGUUUCAGGGUAAUGCUAAUUAUGCAAUCAAAAUUGUCCAUGUUUCCCAGGUUAAUCCA